GCACUCACUUCAGCAGCACAUAUACUAAAAUUGGAAGGAUACAGACAAGAUUAGCAUGUUCCCUGUGCAAGGAUGACAUGUAAAUUUGUGAAGCAUUCCCUAUUUUU
ensembl:snRNA U6 U6 spliceosomal RNA